GGAGGAGGAGGAGGAGGAGGAAGCAUGUGCGCUUUUACGAUUUGUUGGUGUGUUGGGAGUGAAGUGCUUGGAGUUGGAUUUUGUACAAAGUGUCAGCCAAUAGGAGCUCAGCUCUCUCCCACGGCUGGCGAGGACUGUCACGCAGCUACUUUGGACCCACGGUCCUCAUCCAGUGGCCCGGAUGACAAGUGCACAUUCAAAGUGGAAAUAACAUCAGCACAACACUUAAAAAAAUAAUUCCAUAAAAAAAAAAAAAAUAUCCCAAGAUGCAUUAGCACUAUUUGACUAUCGUAGCACAAAUGAAUCCAAUUUCACUCUAUUUGCAGAGAGAGAGUUAAAAAAAAAAAAAAAAAAAAAAAAAGGACGCCUGCUUCCUCUCGUGUAGCCAAAAAUAGGAUUUAGAGAUUUAUUUGUAAAAAAAAAAGUGACCUCAUCUCAUUCGCCACACGCACACGCACGUGUGCACGAGGAGGGUGAAGACGUUGACGAGUGAGGAGAACGAGCUGCAAGAUGCCAACGCAGAGGAAAAAGGUUUUGUUUUGGAUCUUCCCAAGUCGGAUUUCUUUCAGCACACCAGCUUUCACCUGAGCAGAGGGUUCUUCAUCUUCUUCUUCUUCUUCUUCUUGGAACGAACUGCAGCACACACUCAGGAGUCUGCCGAAAAACAAAGGGAUGCAAUUAAACACAGCUGAUCAACAAGGAGGCAAAGUGGGGACGCAGGACGACAAAGUGGAGGUCAAGUAAAAGGGAGGUCGCCACACACGCAAACGUUGCCUCUGUUAUGAACUGAGGUAUAUAAGGGAGCGGGGGGAAAAAGAAAUGUUUACCAAUGAAGACGUCUGUGUGCCUACUGCGUGCACGUGGAGGUGCGUACACGGCGUGCUAAAAAGCUGCCCUGCAGACCAGACCUGUGGAAUCUUCAAAGUGGAGGAUUUGUUCAGGCUUAUUUGGCAACCUGGGAUUUGAAUUGGAUUUUGGGAGGCAUUCAUAACACAUUAGAAAACCUUACAAUGUGUGAUUUCAUGUCUAAUCCCCUUAUAGUCAUUUUUUUUUAUAAGGGGGAGUAUGGUCACAACAUAGCGCGGCUAUUCAUGAUUCAUCAAAUGUUUUUCUUUUUUUUUUGCCUGUGAGGUGAGUGUCUUCUCCUGAAGAGGUGACUCUUCACUUGAACCUUCCUCUCCUCACCGUUUUGUUGGUUUGACCUGAAUAUGUGAUAGGGUCAGCUCCACCGUGACACCCCCUGCUUUCAACCCCCAGUGGAUUAGACCUUUCUACAUGUGCGGACGGCAAGGCCCCUCCGUGACAGUUGGACAUCGUCGUCGCUUUCGGGAGGAGACAGCGGCGGCCGUUUGUAGCGUUUCCCAGCCUCGGGCCUGUGGGGAAUCUGUGAUGGCUCGCCUGUCAGCCGGCCCCUCCCCUGCAAUUAGGAGAGUAAACACAGCGCCCGGCUCGACAUGGGAGGGGGGGGGACAGAGAAGGAGGGGCGGGGACACCAUCCUGCUCCUGUCCUACUGCUGUCCCCAGACAAAGAUGACUGCACAAACUCAGACACUGCAAAUGUCUAUAAAAAGUGUCUGUGAAUACAUCACAGCAUAUCAUAGCAGGCUGCACGGUGGUUUGCAUGUCGGCCUCACAGUCAGGACUAUUGAGGCUUGGAACAACUCUGUGUGGACUUUGCUUGUCCUCACACAUCUAAAAACAAGCAUUUGGUUAAUUACAGGCAUUCAGAAAGUAUUCACAGUGCUUCACUUUUUCCACAUUUUCUUAUGUUGUAGCCUUAAUCCAAAAUGCAAUAAAUUCCUUGUUGUCCUCCAAAUUCUACACACAAUACCCCAAAAUGACAAUGUGAAAAGCUUUUUUUUUUAAACAUUUAUGCUAAUGUAUUAAAAAAUAAAAACAUACACAUUUUUUACAUAAGUAUUCACAGCCUUUGCUCAAUACUUUGUUGAUGCAAAUUGGCCAGACGGAAGCCAUUUCUUAGUAAAAAAAUUGCCAAAAUGCACCUGGAAAACAAACUUCUCUGGUCUGACGAGACAAAGAUUGAACUCUUUGGCGUGAAUGCAAGGCGUCAUGCUUUGAGGAAAACCAAUUCCUACAGUGAAGCAUGGUGGUGGCAGCAUCAUGCUGUGGGGAUGGUUUUUUAGCACAGGAACUGAGAGACCAGUCAGGAUAAUAAUAAUAAUAAUAAUAAUACAUUUUAUUUAUAAGGCGCCUUUCUGGGCACUCAAGGACACCGUACAAAAUCACAACAAUAAAAUCAAAUUGGAUAAAAAACAACAACAACAACAACAAAGAGAAAAGAAAAGAUGAUUACAAUGAAUAAGCAGUCAGGAAUAGGUAUGUUUUGAGUCUUGAUUUGAAGAGGGAUAUUGAAUCUAAGUUGCGAAGGUCUGGUGGUAAAGAGUUCCAAAGAUGUGGGGCAGAGCGGCUGAAAGCUCGGGCACCCAUGGUGGACAGUUUAAAUAAAGGGACAGUGAGAUGGAUGGAUGAAGAGGAUCUUAGGGAACGCGAGGGCGUGGCGACAUGGAGCAGGUUAGAGAGAUAUGAUGGAGAGAGGUUAUGGAUGGCUUUGAAAGUGAGGAGAAUUAUUUUAAAGUGGAUGCGAUGUUUGAUGGGUAGCCAGUGGAGUUGCUGCAGAACAGGGGUGAUGUGCUGGAUUGAAGGGGUUCUGGUGAUUAUCCGGGCUGCAGAGUUCUGGAGAAGCUGAAGUUUGUGAAGUGACUUGUGAGGGAGACCAAACAGGAGAGAGUUGCAGUAGUCCAGGCGAGAGGUGACCAGGCUAUGGACUAGUAUGGCAGCAGUAUGAGGGGUAAGGGAUGGGCGAAGACGAUUAAUGUUUUGAAGAUGAAAGUAAGCAGACCGGGUAAUGUUGUUUAUGUGGGCUUUCCCAUCCAACCUGUUGGAGCUUGAGAGGUGCUGCAAAGAGGAAUGAGUGUAACUGCCCAAAUAUAGGUGUGCCGAACUUGUGGCAUCGUAUUCAAAAAGACUUGAGGCUGUAAUUGCUGCCAAAUGUGCAUCAACUAAGUAUUGAGCAAAGACUGUGAAUACUUAUGUACAUGUGAUUUUUUAUUUUCAAUACAUUUGCAAACAUUUUUAAAAUACACAUUUUCACAUGAUCAAUAUGGGGUAUUGUAUGCAGAUUUUUUAGGACAAAAAUGCAUCUAUUCCAUUUUAGAAUAAGGUUUCAAAAUAACAAAAUGUGGAAAAACUGAAGCACUGUGAAUAAUUUCCGGAUGCACUGUACGUUCCUAAUGAUUUUCUGUUAUUACUGUUCUGUUAUCUGUUAUUUUACGCCCACCUUGUCAUGAGUUGAAAUAUUGGGAACCUGAUAAUAUCUAGUUUAUUUCUGAAUAAAGACACUGAUACUGAUUAAAGUCCAUUGUGUGAGUGACAGCGUUGGGAUAAAACAGAUGUGUUUUUGACGUCGCAUUUGUGUGGUUGUUUGAUUCCGUGUUUUAGUUCUGCGUUUGAGCUACCUUUAAGUGCAAUAAAAAGGAGCAAUGGAAGUAAAUCAUUAUUGAAAAUACUUAAGGAAAUGUAUGUUAAUAACAGUGACACAAUGAAUAAAAGUAAUGCUAGAUGUUUAGCAUUUGCACAAAAUAACCCCAAAUAAUAUAUUUGUGACCCACUGCAGUGUAUGAAAGCUUGAUUCUCAGCUUUCAGUUGUGUAAUUACAUUUCUAUAACAAGCAAAUAAAUAUGAAUAAAAGAAGGAGCAUAUCCGCCCUCACAUAUUUUGGGGCGCUUCAGAUUCUGCACCUUUGUAUUCAAUUCAAACAAUAAUAAUAUAACUUUGAUUUCUGUCUAGUUUUUGACAUGCUAAUAAGUGGACCUCUCAUGUAAUGGCAUAUGUUUCUGUUGAAGUCACACAGCGGGAUCCAAAAUGCAGCCCGGGGGUGAUCAGCGGCCCACAGCUCCUUAUUUAUUCUACAGCAGGUGUCUUCAAAGCUCAUCACAAUUUGAGCUGCUAUAAAGCGAGGUGAGAGAGUUGUAUUUUAUUGAUAUGACAUUUCAAAUGUACUUUAUUGACAAAGCAGAUCUCCACUCCAACAGUGCAGCUAUUAUCUUCAUGCUAGUUUGUGAUCCUUUGCCAUCAAAAAGAGGCAUAAGGUCUGAAUUUAAAUUGUAUUGAUAUUAAAUAAUAUUCUUUGACCUUUUAGUGAGCUACUCACAAUCAAGUAGUGAGCUGUUGGAGACCUCUGUGCUUGCGGAAUGGCCCACAUCGAAACAUAACACAAAAACAAAGAAUUACUAUAAUAAACAUUUCCCAAAUGCACCAAAAAAAUGGGACCAGCAAACAAAAAUGGUCGACUACCAGCCUUUACGUCUUACCCAUAGGUGGGGAGAGUAGCCAAUAAAGUCAAAAAUUAUGACUCAAGUACAAGUUAAAAAUAGUCAUCUAAAUGAUUACUUGACUAAAAGUAAGUAUUCAGUGAAACAAUUAUGCAAGUACUGACUAACUAGUGAGUAACUUCAUAUUUAUUUCAUAACUAUAUUAUACUGGUACUUGCACUACAACCAUAGUUGGUUUGUGUGUGUGUGUGAGACAGAGAGCCACUACUACAGAAUUUACUACAAAAUAAGUAAAUUUUACAGUCACUUAUGACGUUAUAAAAGGGCUAACAUUAGCAUAUGUGCAGCUAAAACAUAAAAAAAAUCAACAUUUUACAGUACCAUGUUUUCUCUAGUGGGCUUCUUGUACUGUGGACAUUUCUACUGACACAGAUGACAGCACAUGAUAUAAAUGGUUUUUUUUCUGAGCUUGUAAGUAAACAUUGAAGAGUUGUGGGAUCUGAGCCGAGGAUGUCGUUGCGGCUUGUGCAGCCCUUUGAGACACUUGUGAUUAAGGGCUAUAUAAAUAAACUUUGAUUGAUUGAUUGAUGGGCAGCACAGUGGAAGAGGGGUUAGUGCGUCUGCCUCACAAUCCGAAGGUCCUGGGUGCGAUCCUGCGCUCGGGAUCUUUCUGUGUGGAGUUUGCAUGUUCUCCCCGUGACUGCGUGGGUUCCCUCCGGGUACUCCGGCUUCCUCCCACCUCCAAAGACAUGCACCUGGGGAUAGGUUGAUUGGCAACACUAAAUUGGCCCUAGUGUGUGAAUGUGAGUGUGAAUGUUGUCUGUCUAUCUGUGUUGGCCCUGCGAUGAGGUGGCAACUUGUCCAGGGUGUACCCCGCCUUCCGCCCAAUUGUAGCUGAGAUAGGCUCCAGCGACCCCCGCGACCCCGAAGGGAAUAAGCGGUAGAAAUGGAUGGAUGGAUGGAUGAUUGAUUGAUUGUGCUGCACCGUAUGACUUCAUGUGAUAUUUUACAGUGUGUUGUUCCAGUGCGGUCAUAUGACUGCUAUUGGUGAAAUGGAGUCACGGGUCACUAGUGCUUACAUUGGAUUGGUGAAACCAAGUCAUGUGACACAGGGAGAGUGGAAGAGUUCUCUGUAACAAACCAAAUAAAUUAGUAUUUGCAAGUGAUAUUCAAUUGAUUAAAAACACAUGAUGAUAUAAAUAAAUGUAGCAAUUGUAAUGGAACUCAAUGUCCAUCCAUCCAUUUUUCCAGGGUUGCAGGGGGGCUGGAACCUAUCCCAGCUGCACUCGGGCAGAGAGCUGGGUAGGCACACCCUGGUGUAAUGGACUAAAAGUAGUGUUUCUAAAAGUCCUAAAAAGUAGGUUGCAUAAGAGUACUGUGACAAGUAACAUUUAAGUCUCUAAAAAGAUUAUCUCAAUGUUGGAGGAAAAAAAGUAUAAUAGUUUUGUCAUGACCUGUCACGUUAGUUCUGACCUAAUUUUGUGUUUCCUUCUUUUCUAAAUUUGGGACAAACGGUAGAAAAUGGAUGGAUGGAUAGUUCCUGUUCCGCACUCUUAUUUUAUUUUCACUUCCUGUCGACCGUACCACUCCUUAUGGCCUAAGCACUAUUUAUCUCACCUGUCUCUGAUUGGCAACUUGGGCACACCUGUUCCGGGUUUCCAAUCAGGCUUCAGACAGGGCUUGAUCGUUGUGUAAACUGUGUGUAUUGUAAACUGUUUCAUGUAUGACUCAUGCAUUUAUCAACUGUUUAUUUGUGCUUUUGACAAGCUUGUUUGUUUCCCAAAGAAGUUUCAUGUCUUGUGCGCUCCCUAACUGCACUUGCCUUCUUUUGACAUUAAAUACAUCUU